UACGUAGGGUGCAAGCGUUAAUCGGAAUUACUGGGCGUAAAGGGCGCGUAGGCGGCCUUCUAAGUCGAACGUGAAAUCCCCGGGCUCAACCCGGGAACUGCGUCCGAUACUGGGAGGCUUGAAUCCGGGAGAGGGAUGUGGAAUUCCAGGUGUAGCGGUGAAAUGCGUAGAUAUCUGGAGGAACACCGGUGGCGAAGGCGGCAUCCUGGGACCGACACUGACACUGAGGAGCGAAAGCCAGGGGAGCGAAA
rnacentral:rRNA from 1 species